UACGUAGGGUGCGAGCGUUGUCCGGAAUUAUUGGGCGUAAAGAGCUCGUAGGCGGUGUGUCGCGUCGGCCGUGAAAACCUGCAGCUUAACUGUGGGCUUGCGGUCGAUACGGGCAUCACUGGAGUUCGGCAGGGGAGACUGGAAUUCCUGGUGUAGCGGUGAAAUGCGCAGAUAUCAGGGAGGGAACACCGGUGGGCGAAGGCGGGUCUCUGGGCCGAUACUGACGCUGGAGGAG
rnacentral:rRNA from 1 species